UGAGGAAUAUUGGUCAAUGGACGGAAGUCUGAACCAGCCAAGUAGCGUGCAGGAUGACGGCCCUAUGGGUUGUAAACUGCUUUUGUAUGGGGAUAAAGUCAAUCACGUGUGAUUGUUUGCAGGUACCAUACGAAUAAGGACCGGCUAAUUCCGUGCCAGCAGCCGCGGUAAUACGGAAGGUUCGGGCGUUAUCCGGAUUUAUUGGGUUUAAAGGGAGCGUAGGCCGGAGAUUAAGUGUGUUGUGAAAUGUAGACGCUCAACGUCUGACUUGCAGCGCAUACUGGUUUCCUUGAGUACGCACAACGUUGGCGGAAUUCGUCGUGUAGCGGUGAAAUGCUUAGAUAUGACGAAGAACUCCGAUUGCGAAGGCAGCUGACGGGAGCGCAACUGACGCUGAAGCUCGAAGGUGCGGGUAUCGAACAGGAUUAGAUACCCUGGUAGUCCGCACAGUAAACGAUGGAUGCCCGCUGUUGGUACCUAGUAUCAGCGGCUAAGCAAAAGCAUUAAGCAUCCCACCUGGGGAGUACGCCGGCAACGGUG
rnacentral:rRNA from 1 species